UACGGGGGAUGCAAGCGUUAUCCGGAUUUAUUGGGUUUAAAGGGUGCGUAGGCUGUGAGGUAAGUCAGCGGUGAAAUGCCCCCGCUCAACGGGGUGAAGUGCCAUUGAUACUGCCUUGCUGGAAUGCGGAUGCCGUGGGAGGAAUGUGUUGUGUAGCGGUGAAAUGCAUAGAUAUCACACAGAACACCGAUUGCGAAGGCAUCUCACGAAUCCGCGAUUGACGCUGAUGCACGAAAGCGUGGGUAUCAAACAGG
rnacentral:rRNA from 1 species